rnacentral:rRNA from 1 species
UACGAAGGGGGCGAGCGUUGUUCGGAUUUACUGGGCGUAAAGGGCGCGCAGGCGGCUCAUUUUGUCAGGCGUGAAAGCCCCGGGCUUAACCUGGGAACUGCGUUUGAUACGGAUGGGCUAGAGUUCGGGAGAGGAGAGUGGAAUUCCCAGUGUAGAGGUGAAAUUCGUAGAUAUUGGGAAGAACACCGGUGGCGAAGGCGGUUCUCUGGGAAUAUCCUGACGCUGAGGAGCGAAAGUGUGGGGAGCGAACAGG